UGGGCGCAAGCCUGAUGCAGCCAUGCCGCGUGUAUGAAGAAGGCCUUCGGGUUGUAAAGUACUUUCAGCAGUGAGGAAGGCGGGUACGUUAAUAGCGUGCUCGUUUGACGUUAGCUGCAGAAGAAGCACCGGCUAACUCCGUGCCAGCAGCCGCGGUAAUACGGAGGGUGCGAGCGUUAAUCGGAAUUACUGGGCGUAAAGCGCAUGCAGGUGGUUUGUUAAGUCAGAUGUGAAAGCCCGGGGCUCAACCUCGGAAUUGCAUUUGAAACUGGCAGACUAGAGUACUGUAGAGGGGGUAGAAUUUCAGGUGUAGCGGUGAAAAUGCGUAGAGAUCUGAAGGAAUACCGGUGGCGAAGGCGGCCCCCUGGACAGAUACUGACACUCAGAUGCGAAAGCGUGGGGAGCAAACAGGAUUAGAUACCCUGGUAG
rnacentral:rRNA from 1 species